GGGGAUAUGGUCUAGUGGUAUGAUUUCUGUUUUGCAUUGCAUGCAAGCUUACAGAAGGUCGUGCGUUCGAUCCGCGCUAUCUCCA